AUUGAACGCUGGCGGCAGGCCUAACACAUGCAAGUCGAACGAGUGGCGGACGGGUGAGUAAUGUCUGGGAAACUGCCUGAUGGAGGGGGAUAACUACUGGAAACGGUAGCUAAUACCGCAUACCAUCAGAUGUGCCCAGGUGGGAUUGGCUUGUUGGUGGGGUAACGGCUUACCAAGGCGACGAUCCCUAGCUGGUCUGAGAGGAUGACCAGUCACACUGGAACUGAGACACGGUCCAGACUCCUACGGGAGGCAGCAGUGGGGAAUAUUGGACAAUGGGCGAAAGCCUGAUGCAGCCAUGCCGCGUGUAUGAAGAAGGCCUUCGGGUUGUAAAGUACUUUCAGUGGGGAGGCGUUACCCGCAGAAGAAGCACCGGCUAACUUCGUGCCAGCAGCCGCGGUAAUUC
rnacentral:rRNA from 1 species